GAGGUCCAAUGCAUGGGAACCGAGGCCUCGCUGGCCGACUGCAAGUCCCUGGGUUGGCUGAAGAGCAACUGCAGGCACGAGAGAGACGCCGGUGUUGUCUGCACCAACGGAGCACCCACACCCUGGACCUCUCCAGGGAGCUCUCGGAGGCCCUUGGCCAGAUCUUUGACAGCCAGCGGGGCUGCGACUUGUCCAUCAGCGUGAGUGUGCAGGGCGAGGACGCCCUGGGCUUCUGUGGCCACACGGUCAUCCUGACUGCCAACCCAGAGGCCCAGGCCCUGUGGAAGGAGCCGGGCAGCAAUGUCACCAUGAGUGUGCAUGCUGAGUGUGUGCCCAUGGUCAGGGACUUUCUCAGGUGAGCCGUCUCGUCCUCAGGCUCUGGGGCCGCCAGGGGCUUUGUCCUCCUCCCCUCUUCAAAAGCACACCCACACACACACACCUGCACACACUCAUGCACAUGUACACACGCAGUCACACGUGCACUCGCGCAGUUGCACACACGGGCAUGCUCACUCCCACGCUGUGUGCACUCGGGUGGCUGUGUUGGACA
rnacentral:sRNA from 1 species